AAACCAGCACCUCAAGUUGUCAGGAGGAUUAUUGGGCCUAAAGCAUCCGUAGCCUGCUCUGUAAGUUUCCGGUUAAAUCCAUUUGCUCAACAAAUGGGCUGCCGGAAAAACUGCAAAGCUAGGGAGUGGGAGAGGUAGACGGUACUCGGUAGGAAGGGGUAAAAUCCUUUGAUCUAUUGAUGACCACCUGUGGCGAAGGCGGUCUACCAGAACACGUUCGACGGUGAGGGAUGAAAGCUGGGGGAGCAAACCGGAUUAGAAACCCCGGUAGUCC
rnacentral:rRNA from 1 species